rnacentral:rRNA from 1 species
GACGAACGCUGGCGGCGCGCUUAACACAUGCAAGUCGAACGGAAAGGCCUGCUUUCCCUUGUGGAUUGCGGGUACUCGAGUGGCGAACGGGUGAGUAACACGUGAGUGAUCUGCCCCCAACUUGGGUAUAAGCCUGGGAAACUGGGUCUAAUUCCCGAUAGGACUGCAGGGUGGUGCCUGUGGUGGAAAACGAUUUUCUAGUGGUUGGGGAUGAGCUCGCGGCCUAUCAGCUUGUUGGUGGGGUAAUGGCCUACCAAGGCGGCGACGGGUAGCCGGCCUGAGAGGGUGGACGGCCACAUUGGGACUGAGAUACGGCCCAGACUCCUACGGGAGGCAGCGGUGGGGAAUAUUGCACAAUGGGCGGAAGCCUGAUGCAGCGACGCCGCGUGGGGGAUGACGGCCUUCGGGUUGUAAACUCCUUUCGACCGCGAGGAAGCCACCUGGUUGGAAGGGUGGUGACGGUAGUGGUAGAAGAAGCACCGGCUAACUACGUG